rnacentral:rRNA from 1 species
AUGGGCGAGGAGGCGUGCACGCUGCGGGUGCGGCUCCCGGACGGACGGUUCAUCUGCAAGACCUUCGGCGCCGGCCGUCCGGCGACGGCGCUGUUCCGGUACUGCUACUCGGCGCUUACCACCUGGGCAGCCGCGACGCGGCCGUUUCGGCUCCUGAAGCUCGCCGGUGGACAAACCGAUGAGAUACGCCCGGACGAGUCGCCGCUGCGGGACCUCGGGCUGCACCAUUGCACCAUCCACCUGGUCUUCUGGGUUUAG